CCCACAGCCAGGCAGAGCUGGGACCUCUUUGUACCACGCUGCUCCCCACCAUUCCUAGUAUUUGCAGUUCUGAAGGACACAAAGAGCUUUAUGGUGAAUGCUGGUGACCUGAAGGCAUGCUCUAUAAGAUGUGGUACAGGGCUGAAGUCAUCCAAGCAUGCAAUUUAUGACUGAGUGGCUACUUAGAGCACAAAACUCUCGGAGAGAAGCAUGGAAAAGGGGCUCAAGGACACUGCCUCUUUCAUUUCUGUGAAGUGAAAAGCAGAGUUAUCUGUACCCAAGUUUGUCACAGUGAGUAAGAUGCAGACGUCCAUGACAUGCCGUCCUUUGGAUGGAGUCACUGAAAACAAAGAAAACAUGAUGUUUUGCCUCCUGAAGAUUACUAUGAGAUGAAAUACGAGGCUUUGACACCUUCCUGCUUUAUCCACGUAGCGAUGCCUCUACUAAAACUCUCUGCAGUAUUUCCUGGCUGGCACAGCAAGUUGACCAUCAGGAAUGGAGUGAUGCUCUGACACUGGAUGAGCUCUAGCAAGUGAGAGUGCCUCGGUGCUGCACGUGUAUCACGCAACAACCGAGGUGCUGAUUGCCCUGUGCAGCCAUUCCCUGUGCCAGUGACCCCA
ensembl:lncRNA